UCCAAAUCCAAUGGUAUGGGUCAC
rnacentral:siRNA from 1 species